GCACCUCACUCUCGCAUCCACUCCUCUCGCCUCCCUCUUCUUGGAACUGAGGAGCAGCUCCAGCCACAAGACAUGUCCUGCUACAACCCGUGCCUGCCCUGCCAGCCCUGCGGCCCAACCCCGCUGGCCAACAGCUGCAAUGAGCCCUGUGUCCAGCAGUGCCAGGACUCCAGAGUUGUCAUCGAGCCCCCAGCUGUGGUGGUGACCCUGCCUGGCCCCAUCCUCAGCUCCUUCCCGCAGAACACCGCUGUGGGCUCCUCCACCUCCGCUGCUGUUGGCAGCAUCCUCAGCUCUCAGGGAGUGCCCAUCAACUCCGGGGGCUUUGGGCCUGUCUGGCUUGGGCAGCGGCAUCUGUGGCACGAGGAGGUGUUUCCCCUGCUAAAUCUGAUGGUGAUGGCCCUGGGGAAGGAAACCAGGGACCUAAAGGAUAGGGCUGGACCGGAGACAAAUCAUCAGGUUGCUCCUUUCAGAUGGGCUGGGCAAGCCCAGCACCCUUUGUAAAAAGACAGGGCCAGCCUGGGCUCUCAGAAAGCACAGCCCAUGCUGUCUUUCCCUUCUCCCCAUGUCUUCUCUCCCUCUUGUGUCUCUGUUCUCUUGUGCUCCCCUGGGCUGUGAGCCCCACAAAGCCAGCCUAGGGAGGACCUGCUGGCCCUCCUCCCUCUGUGGGACAGGCAGAUGGACACCUGGCUGGAUCUGUACCACAACCAUGGGUCACAUACUCCUGUCUGCCCCGGUGUUCUGGCUACUGGAGCUGCCCUCAGAGCCACCUUAUUUUGUUUUCUUUUGUCUCAUUAAAGUUCUUCUGCAUCCCAGCCCAUGCCUUUUUCUCAUCAUGCUCAGGCCUGGUUAUCGGAUCAGGUUGUUGGAGAAGGUUGUGCAGUGAUUGUCGACUACUUUGGUAUUGACUGUACUUAGUCAUGACUUGAGUGUAGCCUCUGGUUUCUAAACAUCUCUGCCUACGUGGGCUAUACUGGGGUAGAACAACACAAGGCAGUUCAGUCACUCCAUCACUUUGUUGUAUACACCUUUUCUUUUUCCUUGGGAAGCUCAAAAUUGUGAAGCAGUAGUGAGGAGAAGUAGGAAUGAAUGUGGUAUUGACAAGGCAGAGGCAAUACUGUCCCAGGAAAGUCCAGGACAACCUGUCUUAACCCCAGCCUUGAGACGUAGAAUUUUGGGGUGAGGGAAAGACCAGGUGGAAAAGAAAAGCUGGAGAACAGGAAGGGAAUAUACUGCCACAGCAUCUUUGGGAAAACUUGUCCCAAGACCUGGCGUGCACAGAUCGUACGAUCUUCUAGUAGGUGCGGAGAUGCCUUCUGCAGUCCUUUCUUACCUUACUCAGAACAUUCAGGACAGCUCCUGCACACUGCCUGUCUUCUUGCCUGAGAACCUGAGCUCCUUCUCCUCAUUGCUGGCCCUCUAUCCAGUGGGCCAAGAAGGCACAAAAAGGCUGUCCUGGCACCAUACAAUCAGAGCAUAAUCAAGUUGCAAAUGACCUUCAGAGAUCAUUGGUCUCAAGCCAUGAGUGCCUGUCCUGGUUUUGUUUUAAAACAAGACUAGUUUCUCUUGUAGUGAAUUUUCCUUUCAGCUAAGUUCUUCUAAGUAACUGCACUUUUCUGAAUUUGGCUGCGUUUUUUUGAGACUCUUCGCUCUGGAGCUCAUAACGGUAGCAAUGACAUGCAGGAGAGGCCCAGGUUUACACUUAUUGCUAUGGCAGUCAAGGUUACUGAUAAAUAUUGCACGUCCCAUAAGUGAGAGGGGUGUAUUUGCAAGGAGGAGCAAACAGAACAGGUGACUAAAAUUGACCGAGUAUUCCGCCCCACACACAUCAUACACCCUGUAAGAGUGAGAGAUCACAAGGGUCUCGUCCUCUUCAACCAUGGCCGCCAUCUGAAGAGGACCCUGCUUGUCGUGCCUGCUAUCCUGGGCCUGGUUUCCAGACCCUGCAUCUCUGAAUCCAGUUCUGGUUAGUCGAAGAGUCCAGCCCAGGUCUUCCGGGUGCCUGUCCUGCAGCUGUGAGGGUGAAAAAUCAUGGACUCCACACAAUCCAAUAUGAAUUCAAGCAAAGCCAUUUAUUACAGAAACAAGCCUCCUUAUAUAUGCAGUUAUUUCCUGAUCACGCAUCCACGCUACAAGCAUGCAUUCGCUGAUUGGAUAUUGUCUAUGUUCAUGAGCUGCCCACGCGCCCGAGUCUCACUGCUAAUAGGUCUCUUGAUUUAUGUCUUCUUGAGGCCCUGUCAUUGCAGAACUGCCUCACUCCCACAGCAGCUCCUGUUUUCAGCUUUCCCAGGUGGCCUUGAAAUUCCUUUGGGCCUGGCUAGUUCGGUAACAAACCUCCAUCUAACAGAAACCCAUCCACACAUUAACUUCAGAAAUUCCCUCAAAUCUCCCACAUGCAGCCACUGGAGUGACACCGGCUCCAUGGUGGGAAACACUGCAUUACCCCAGGAAAUUCAAGACUGGUUUUGUAUAUUUUGUAUUAUUUUCUCUGUUUAUUAGUAGCAUAAGUAAAUCAUUUUUAACCUUC